rnacentral:rRNA from 1 species
AUUGAACGCUGGCGGCAGGCCUAACACAUGCAAGUCGAACGAGUGGCGGACGGGUGAGUAAUGUCUGGGCAACUGGCUGAUGGAGGGGGAUAACUACUGGAAACGGUAGCUAAUACCGCAUACCAUCGGAUGUGCCCAGAUGGGAUUAGCUAGUAGGUGUGGUAACGGCUCACCUAGGCGACGAUCCCUAGCUGGUCUGAGAGGCUGACCAGCCACACUGGGACUGAGACACGGUCCAGACUCCUACGGGAGGCAGCAGUGGGGAAUAUUGCACAAUGGACGCAAGCCUGACGCAGCCAUGCCGCGUGUAUGAAGAAGGCCUUCGGGUUGUAAAGUACUUUCAGCAGGGAGGCGUUACCCACAGAAGAAGCACCGGCUAACUCCGUGCCAGCAGCCGCGGUAAUUC